rnacentral:rRNA from 1 species
AGAGUUUGAUCCUGGCUCAGAGCGAACGCUGGCGGCAGGCUUAACACAUGCAAGUCGAGCGGGCGUAGCAAUACGUCAGCGGCAGACGGGUGAGUAACGCGUGGGAACGUACCUUUUGGUUCGGAACAACACAGGGAAACUUGUGCUAAUACCGGAUAAGCCCUUACGGGGAAAGAUUUAUCGCCGAAAGAUCGGCCCGCGUCUGAUUAGCUAGUUGGUGUGGUAACGGCGCACCAAGGCGACGAUCAGUAGCUGGUCUGAGAGGAUGAUCAGCCACAUUGGGACUGAGACACGGCCCAAACUCCUACGGGAGGCAGCAGUGGGGAAUAUUGGACAAUGGGCGCAAGCCUGAUCCAGCCAUGCCGCGUGAGUGAUGAAGGCCCUAGGGUUGUAAAGCUCUUUUGUGCGGGAAGAUAAUGACGGUACCGCAAGAAUAAGCCCCGGCUAACUUCGUGCCAGCAGCCGCGGUAAUACGAAGGGGGCUAGCGUUGCUCGGAAUCACUGGGCGUAAAGGGUGCGUAGGCGGGUCUUUAAGUCAGGGGUGAAAUCCUGGAGCUCAACUCCAGAACUGCCUUUGAUACUGAGGAUCUUGAGUUCGGGAGAGGUGAGUGGAACUGCGAGUGUAGAGGUGAAAUUCGUAGAUAUUCGCAAGAACACCAGUGGCGAAGGCGGCUCACUGGCCCGAUACUGACGCUGAGGCACGAAAGCGUGGGGAGCAAACAGGAUUAGAUACCCUAGUAGUCC